GAAUUUUCAUCAAGAAAAGAUUCCAGUUGACUUUUUAAGACCGAAAUAUGGAUUUCUCAACAAAAGAUUAAUUCCGUUGAAAAAAAAGGAAAUUUCUAAUCCAAAAAGGACGAAAGACCACACCAGCUCCGCCCAAAAGGCCGACGACCACUUGGCCAGCCUCACACUACCCUUACUAUCCAAAAAGGACCGAGAGGCCUCCCGUGAGAGAGGAAAAAAUCGAAAGGCCAGAGGAGAAGCUGCGCAGUCACAGUUCAGUCCCAGCCCUUGGAGUCAUCAACGCCACUCUCAGGCAACAAUGUGUCUAACUGUCUGAACUCCUUGGUGAGAACAAAUACUAUCGUAAACAGAGGAUUAUGGAAACACUCAGGGAUCAACUAAGACGAUUGGUGGAGCUGAAUGUGUAUUGCAUACUUGAAUUUAGUUAACUUGUUUUGAGCUAAAUGUCAACAUAAUCGGUAUUAGCAAGUCACAUUUCGACUGCUCUAUACAGUAUGGAACCAAGAUCGGAUGAUUUGAUAUAAGAGAUCUGUACGGAAAGUAUCCGAUCUUGUCGUGUACCAGGAUUGAGAUUUAAUUCUAGUGGAUAUUUCAAUUUAAGAAAGAACCAAAAAUCACAGGGAGCGGGUUCAGGCCUGUAUGGGGACUACCGAAGCAGUGUGGAAGGUGCUUGUGCAAUUUCUGGUGCUUCUCCAGAAAUUGCUGAAUAAGCUGCGAUCAAUUAGCCGGAGUUCCGUGUAUGGAAUCAAGUGUAUAUUUAUCGAUUGUCACAGUUAAAAUUUUUGU